UCUACUCGCUCUUCUGGUCAUCUGCUGCCUGAGGAGGCGUGCGAAACUAGCGAGAGAACGAGCCAGGAGGAGAAAUUGUGACAUGGACCACGGCGCGCUGAGUCUUGUCAGGUUCAGCCCCAUCCAUCGACUCGCUGGAGUCGGGAGAACCAACAGGGCUGUAUCUCUGAGGAGCGAAAGGGGCUCUCGGGCAUUUCCAACCCUGGAACUGGACACAGUCGUCGAGGAGCGAUCGGACCCGGAACAAAGUACGGCCCUGGAACUGAGUAGUCCUGACUAGCAUACGGCUCUCGCGGCACCGCCAAGAUCGCCGAGGGGAUCGACGGUUCUGGUCGUGCCACCCCCAGUGGAUCGCAGCCCCCUUUGGACGGCCCUGACACACGCGAACAGCGUGACAACGGUGCUGGGAGACACCUAGCAGGAAAUUGAAGACAGCGGCUUCGUCGAAGCGCUGGUCCUUGAGCUCCCGAUCAUUUACUGACAACGGAGUCUCAACGACGUCGGCAUCGGCUGCACCGCUGUCUUCGAAUCAUCGAAUACCCUGCGCCAAGAUUAAUUAAGUUGACCCACCGACGUUAUAGUGAACAUUUCACGUCGUGUGAUUGUCGCGAUGCUACAUUGUAUAAAGCGAUAACGUUAAGGGGGUCAAAGUGGUGAAAUCUCCUAUCGCACAAUCGGAAAUCUAGACGACGAAUUAUACAGCUAUUGCGAACGCGCAAAACGCGAUAAAUUAAACAAAUAAGUCUCGAGCGAAUAUGCACAACUUGUACAAAAUAGAAACAGCUGUUAAUUAUUAUAUUAUCAAUUGCUAUACAGCGCAGUAGAUGUAUGUGUAAUAUGUUACGCGGGGAAGUAGAAUAACGUAUGUAAUAUGUGUAUAUAAUUGGAAUUACGAGUUUUAAAUUGUAAGAGGUCUGCAGUUAAUUUGAAAUGCGUAAUUGUUCCGGUACCUCUGAAGUAUCGGUGUCGAUAUUACCUUUUAUACAACUGUAGAAUUGAAAUCAAAUUAAAAUAUACACGACACCGUACAGUGAUUGCUUUAUUUUGUUGUGUCUAAACAUUACCAAUCAUAAAUUUCAUUAAUGGAAUAUGGUGAUAAUUACGUACAAUUACCUUUCAAUACUUUUUCAAAACACACCCGCAUAUUCUGAUUCCGAAUAUUGAUCUUCACCGUACAUAGAAUACACUGCAACUGUGGUUCAACCGGGGCACACCAGUUACCACUCUCGAAUUAAAAUAACUGAGGCAAGACUUUUCAAUUGAAUAACUUUUGCGACAUACGGCGUAAAAUAAUCGAUACCUCGAAUGAUUAUGAUAGCACGCAAAAAACUCGCUAAAGAAUUGCAUGUACGCCUAUAUGGGUAUAGUUAGUGUAUCCAGUGACAGAGUAUAACGUAAUUAUUUUUAACGGCUAUUGGUCACGCAAUUAUUCAAAAGUGUCACAGGCCAAUAUCAGAUUAUGGGUAUAUAAAUGUAUAAUAACUACUCUAGAUUAUAGGUAGGUACACGUGUAUAAUAUUAGCAAGUCUAGGUAAAAAAUCCAACCGAAAGAGCAAUCAAUUCCCAUGUUGAGUCAUUUUCAAAAUUUUUGAUAAAAGGAAAAAAAAAAUGAUCACCCACUUGAGCGAUGCCUCAUGUUCGAAUCUACCGACAUGGCUUUGCUCGUACUACACACGUUUAUAGGGUAGUCGCUAAUUUGCAUUCUUACGUAUGUAAUGAUCAUAUUGAUCGUACAUCCUUGCGCAGAACGCGGAUCACUUUGGCAUAUUAAAAAUUAUCUGUUUUGCAGGGAGCUCUGCGAGACUUGCACAACAAUCGUUACGCAAAUGAAAAGGUCUGAUCUACGGCAGCCUAUCUUUCUUGUGCUAAAGUAACGGUUACCGUAACAUCAUUUUCUUCCAAUCGACAACGUCGAACAACUGUCUCGUAAAAAAUCAUAAUUCAAGCGCGAUUGAUAAGACAUCAUCUGUAAAUGGAUGAAAUUAUAAAGAAUUGUAGGAAAGUACGAAGGAAUGUUGACGGGCUGCGAAUAAUCAUAUAAUAUUGAAGUUAAUAACGUUAUCGUAACGAAUCAUGAUGAGGAAAACGGGUAUUUUUCGAUUUUGGAAUCGUCUGAAAUUCAGUGAACCGAAAUAAAACGAAACAAUCUGAUAUUUCGAAAUUUUAGUUCCAUAAAAAUAGUUGUAACAUUAUGAAAACAGUGAUUUUUUGCCCUAAUGUUUCGUUACGAUAACGUAACUAACUUCAACCUCGUUGCCAAUCAAAAAUGCUAAACUAAUACUUAUAAAUUGAGAAAUUUGUGGUCGCUCGUGAAAUGUGAAAAAUAGUUGUAAUGUAGGUGUUUGAAAAAGAAUAGCAGCAAAUGGACCAACGCAUCAGAAGAAUUGUAUAAUGGAUAUGUAACAAACAUUAAUCAGAUAUUGUAGAGCAAAAUUAGAGUAAUAUGCCGAAUAGUCGAGUAAAUAUUUUUAUCCUCACGCCUCGGUAAGAAGUGAGUAAGUAGUAAGUAUCUUAUAUCUAUAAUUAGUUAGGCGAAAAUGGUAGAGAAGGAAAAGAUGCCAACCUUAUUGAUAUACUGAUAAGUGUUGUAAGUUACAAACUCGAAACAUGUUCUAGACAUAAUGAAAUGCCCAAUUAUGCCUUCCAGGAGUACUUUCAAGGCACAAAUUUCAUCCGGAGAUAAAAUUAAGUCGCGUGUAAAUAUAUCGUUCAACUUUAUUCCAAUUAUAUUACGUGCAAAUAUUUGUUCAGUCUAGGUACGUAACUUGUCUGUUUACGGUUCAAUUGCGUCACACGUUACAGAUUUUCAAGUCUAAUAAAAUAUUCGUCUGCCAAAUUCUGCCGAUUAGACGGCACGAGUACAUUUUAUAUCCCGUUAAAUAAGUCCACUCGAAUACAUUUUUUAAUUACAAAGAACACUAAUGCAUUAGUCAUGGUAUUCAUCAUUUCAAACAUUCCAAAACGCAUGAUAAUUACGACUGGCCUAUUGCAACGAUCACAGCAGGAAAUGGUAAUUGUUGCAUACAGCUAAACUAUAAUCGAAAUCAAGUGAAUAUGUUAAAUUUUUUAGGCAACACCCGCGAAGCGUAAUAACAAAAUAUAGUUUUAAGAAUGAUGUAUGUGUAAUUGUGAAAAUUGUUUGUGUCUAUUGUCAAGUUUAUCAUGAUGCACUUAUUAUGUUGUAAAUGUUGCUAUGUUGGUGGACAUACCAAGAUAAUUGGAUCAGAGUCCCAUUAAUUUCAUAAUGCCUGGAGGAUUGGAGGAAUUUUAAUUUCUAAAACAAUUUCUGAAAUUAAAAUCUACUUGAAGGCAGUACAAAAAUUGAGAACAAAAUGUCAUCGCUACGAACAUCACGUUGCAAUAUCUGGAGAAUGGGCCCCUUGAAUUCGAUUUUCAGAUUCAAACUCAAUUAUACAAGUGCGUUGAAAACGUAGUGCUGAGUACAGAAGUUCACAAUUGGUUAGCGGAGAAUAGCAGUGCAACACUGAAACUGCGUAAAUACCAUAUCAAAGUAGUAGACUUUGCAUGAAUAUGUACGUUAAAGUUACGGCUCAAUUUAUAUAUUGACCAACAAUAUGCUGACAUUAGAAUUAGAAGCACAAAUACAAGAAUCAGAUAACAGUAGUCACAAUCACGCGAAGCAGAACUUGUCGAAUGUUUUAGAUAUUCGACAGUGAUAAAACUUUUGUACGUAUGGUGGUACAAGCUUGAGGCUAGGCGUAGAGUAGUACUAAUUCAACGAAGUUCAAUUUAAAAAAAAAAAACUUUGAAGUUUUAAGUUCAAGAGCAUAACAGGAUCUUGAGAAAAAAUGUUGGCGUACCAUAUUUAUAGAGUGUAAUAAGAUGAAUUAAUUUUACUAG